rnacentral:tRNA from 1 species
AGCAACUUGACGCAGCGGAAGCGUGCAGGGCUCAUAACCCUGAAGUCCCUGGAUCGAAACCAGGAGUUGCUA